rnacentral:rRNA from 1 species
UACGGAGGGGGCUAGCGUUGUUCGGAAUUACUGGGCGUAAAGCGCACGUAGGCGGCUUUGCAAGUCAGAGGUGAAAGCCCGGGGCUCAACCCCGGAAUUGCCUUUGAGACUGCAUCGCUAGAAUUGUGGAGAGGUAAGUGGAAUUCCGAGUGUAGAGGUGAAAUUCGUAGAUAUUCGGAAGAACACCAGUGGCGAAGGCGACUUACUGGACACAUAUUGACGCUGUGGCGCGAAAGCUAGGGGAGCAAACGGG